CCUCCCCAACUCAACCUCAUCUUCCUCGCCCAACCUAACAUCAUCAUCUCCCAACUCAACGCUCUUCCUCCCCCAACUCAACCUCAUCUUCCUCGCCCAACUCAACACAAUCAUCUCCCAACUCAACCUCAUCUUCCUCCCCAACAUCAUCUUCCUCCCCAACUCAACAUCAUCUUCCUCUUCCAAUUCAUCACGCUCUUCCUCCUCCAACUCAACCUCAUCUUCCUCCCCAACUCAUCAUCAUCUUCCUCUUCCAACCCAACACAAUCAUCUCCCAACUCAACUCUUCCUCCCCAAAAUCAUCUUCCUCCCCCAACCCAACCUCAUCUUCCUCCCCCACUCAAUGUCAUCUUCAUCCCCAACCCAACCUCAUCUUCCUCUUCCAACUCAUCAUCAUCAUCUCCCAACUCAACGCCCUCUUCCUCCCCAACAUCAUCUUCCUCCCCAUCAACCUCAUCUUCCUCCCCAACCUCAUCUUCCUCACCCAACUCAACCUCAUCUUCCUCUUCCAACUCAACAUCAUCUUCAUCCCCAACUCAUCAUCAUCUUCCUCCCCCAACUCAACCUCAUCUUCCUCACCCAACUCAAUGUCAUCAUCUCCCAACUCAACGCCCUCUUCCUCCCCAAUGUCAUCUUCCUCACCCACUCAUCAUCAUCUUCCUCACCCAACUCAACCUCAUCUUCAUCCCCAACUCAACGCUCUUCCUCCCCAACCUCAUCUUCCUCCCCAACUCAACAUCAUCUUCCUCCCCAACCCAACCUCAUCUUCCUCCCCCAACUCAACCUCAUCUUCAUCCCCAACUCAUCAUCAUCUUCCUCACCCAACCCAACGUCAUCUUCAUCCCCAACCCAACCUCAUCUUCCUCUUCCAACUCAACGCGCUCUUCCUCCCCAACCUCAUCUUCCUCCCCCACUCAAUGUCAUCUUCAUCCCCAACCCAACCUCAUCUUCCUCUUCCAACUCAUCA
rnacentral:lncRNA from 1 species